AUCGUCUGUUUAAUUCCGAUCUCAUAUGUUGAGAAAGGGAUGGGGUUUGUAUGUUUAUCUGUUUUUAUCCUCUGAAUAAAUAUAAAGGCAUCAAGUGUUAUGACGUCAACUGACUUUAAAAAGGACCAACGAUGAUCACAAUUCAAGUUAAAAGAUUGCUUCUCUUGCUUUCUGAAACAAAAAGGUAUAAAUACAACAGUAAAAG
rnacentral:lncRNA from 1 species